UACGUAGGGACCGAGCGUUGUCCGGAAUCAUUGGGCGUAAAGAGCGUGUAGGCGGCCUUUUAAGUCCUGCGUGAAAUCCUGCGGCUCAACCGCAGACGGUCGUGGGAAACUGGAAGGCUAGAGUGCGGGAGAGGAGAGUGGAAUUCCCGGUGUAGCGGUGAAAUGCGCAGAUAUCGGGAAGAACACCCGUGGCGAAGACGGCUCUCUGGAACGCAACUGACGCUGAGACGCGAAAGCGUGGGGAGCGAACAGG
rnacentral:rRNA from 1 species